rnacentral:misc_RNA from 1 species
AAGGAUCAUUACCGAGUGAGGGCCCUCUGGGUCCAACCUCCCACCCGUGUUUAACGAACCUUGUUGCUUCGGCGGGCCCGCCUCACGGCCGCCGGGGGGCAUCCGCCCCCGGGCCCGCGCCCGCCGAAGACACCUGUGAACACUGUCUGAAGUUGCAGUCUGAGAAACUAGCUAAAUUAGUUAAAACUUUCAACAACGGAUCUCUUGGUUCCG